UUUGAAUGUAAAAUGAACAAAUUAUUCUCACAUUGAUUAAAAUUGAUUGAAUUGAAUACUUAAAGCAAUAAAAUUGAGUUUGCACACAAAAUGGCACCUCCUGAGCAGAAGGUGGCAGUAACGCUCAAUAAAAAGGACGUCAAUCGCCAUAAAAGAAGAAUAAACAUCGUUUGUUUUGGGCGCCAAAAUGAAGACUCAGCAGCAGUCAGUCAGAAGAACUCUCUCAGACGGACACCACGUUAUUAAAGUAAGUUCUAUUAUUUAUUUAUGUUCACUUGAUACCUGAUACAUCUUCACUAGAUAGACAGUUUUUUUUACAAUAUGUAGCCAUUGCAAUGACUUGUAGUAAAAAUGAGUUUGGAGGAUGUUGGUGGAGUAAGUUAACGUUACAGUCAGUCAGUAAGUGUAAGGCUCAUAAAGAAAAACAGCGUUUUAAAAAUGUCCGCUGUAUAACGUUAUUUCACGUUUGGUAGUUUUAUCCGAGUUGAAAACUGACAGAUUUGAGUUGACUUUUGAGGCACUUUUUACUCAGUUGUUCUAUGGAAACGGUUCAGGACAAAUAAAACGCUAACCAAACGUUAUUCUGUCCAGAGUAACGUUAUCCAUGUAAGUAAUUUACCAGAUGAUAUCAAUUGACUACAUUAAUAAUGACAUUGCGUAUGAAACAAACUGUCUGCUUAAUCAGAUGAACAGACCCGCGUCAGUUAUUCGUGUCUUCACUACGCCACGAGCAACACUUGAUUCAAUUAGAAAAAGCUUUUUUUAAAUGCCUCGCGUGACGUCUGGUAUAUUAACUGAAAAAAUUGCUUUGAAGUGCCACACCUUAAAGCUGACGUUUUCAGAAGAGCACCUUGUUUUAAGAUCUCAUUUUGUCCAAAAUUGCGUCCUAUGACAGAUAUAAUACUUAUUUCAUUGUUGCUCUGUGUAUGUGUGACCUUAAUCAUUUGAGGUUGUGUGUUGAUUUCACCUCUGAAUAUUUCCUCUUAUAGGUCCAUCAUCCUUGCAUGCGCUACACACUCAAAAGCAUUGAUAAAUGCUGAAUUUAAAAGAAUCACUACUGUCUAAUGUUCCUGCGUGUCACCUGGACCUCCAAUCCAAAAACCUGACGAAACUCUUCUAUCAGAAAGGAGGACAGCUAGCAAAAAGACUUCAAACAAUGAAUGAUCAAAUGACAGAAGGCAUGGAUGAAGUCAGCAACAGUGUGGUCAUUUGAAGACACCACUGUUGGGAUUUGUGCUCUCAAACAACAUGCUUCUUGUGAUGAAGAAGAGGAUCUUUGUAUAGUCCUGGAAGGCAUGAAGGUGUUGCAACAUCGUGCCAUGUUGUUUGAGCUGAUGUAUGCCUUAAACCUGAGCUAUCCUGAUCUCUGCUUUAUUUUUGAAGAAAUCCAAAAGAUUUUAAUGGAACUGCAUUGAGCGUAACUUUAACGAACAGUUUCUUUCAGUGAAAGGAUCAGAAAGACUGUGCUGCUCAUUUAUGUUCUUUUUAUUUAUCUGUUUUAAGUGUUUUUCUUAUUAAAACAUUAACCGUUUGCUGCUCAGAGUUGAUUUUGGAAAUGGUUGUUGUAUUUUGUUUUUGUUGAAUCUUUGAUUAUCAGUUUAUACAAAUGCUGUAGCUCUGACUUUCUGAAGGAUUGAUAUUUUCCAGUUUGUAAAUCCAUUUAAAAAAUAAUAGUACUUACUGUUUUGCAUGUCUCUUUGGAAUGCAGUGUUUGUGCUUUAGCACUUCUAAAUCUACUGUGAUAGUAACUAUUUUAAACAUUUGGGUCAGUUUUACAGAUGAGGCUUUUUCUAGUCCCAGACUUUUGCAAUGCCUUAAUUUGAAAACAUAUUGCACUGACAUAUCUUGACAUAUAUCAGUGCCAUUGUUUUGUCUCAAGAUGUACUCCAGUGUUGUUUUUGUAAGGUAGGUUUGUUUGUAAACUUUUUUUGUAAAAAAUAUCCUU